rnacentral:rRNA from 1 species
GACGAACCGUGCGAACGUUAUUCGGAAUCACUGGGCUUAAAGCGCGUGUAGGCGGAAGGGCACGUCGGUCGCUGAAAUCCCUCGGCUCAACCGAGGAAGUGGCGCCGAUACGGCCUUUCUGGAGGAACGUAGGGGGACCUGGAACUUCCGGUGGAGCGGUGAAAUGCGUAGAUAUUACUCGGAAGGCCAAAGGCGAAGGCAGGUUACUGGUACGCAACUGACGCUGAGGCACGAAAGCGUGGGGAGCAAACAGG